rnacentral:rRNA from 1 species
GUGGGGAAUCUUCCGCAAUGGACGUAAGUCUGACGGAGCAACGCCGCGUGAGUGAAGAAGGUUUUCGGAUCGUAAAGCUCUUUCGUUAGGGACGAACGUGCUCUUUGUGAAUAAUGAGGAGUAAUGACGGUACCUAAAUAAGAAGCCACGGCUAACUACGUGCCAGCAGCCGCGGUAAUACGUAGGUGGCAAGCGUUGUCCGGAAUUAUUGGGCGUAAAGCGCGCGCAGGCGGGAUAUCAAGUCUGUCUUAAAAGUGGGAGGCGCAACCACGAGAGGGGACAGAAACUGGUAUUCUUGAGUGUCGGAGAGGAAAGUUGAAGUCCAAGUGUAGCGGUGAAAUGCGUAGAGAUUUGGAAGAACACCAGUGGCGAAGGCGACUUUCUGGACGAUGUCUGACGCUGAGGCGCGAAAGCUAGGGGAGCGAACGGGAUUAGAUACCCGAGUAGUCC